rnacentral:rRNA from 1 species
UACGAAGGGUGCAAGCGUUACUCGGAAUUACUGGGCGUAAAGCGUGCGUAGGUGGUUUGUUAAGUCUGUUGUGAAAGCCCCGGGCUCAACCUGGGAAUGGCAAUGGAUACUGGCAGGCUAGAGUGCGGUAGAGGGUAGUGGAAUUCCCGGUGUAGCGGUGAAAUGCGUAGAGAUCGGGAGGAACACCGGUGGCGAAGGCGGGUCUCUGGGCCGAUACUGACGCUGAGGAGCGAAAGCAUGGGUAGCGAACAGG